UACGAAGGGGGCUAGCGUUGCUCGGAAUCACUGGGCGUAAAGCGCACGUAGGCGGACUCUUAAGUCGGUGGUGAAAUCCUGGAGCUCAACUCCAGAACUGCCUUCGAUACUGGGAGUCUCGAGUCCGGGAGAGGUGAGUGGAACUGCGAGUGUAGAGGUGAAAUUCGUAGAUAUUCGCAAGAACACCAGUGGCGAAGGCGGCUCACUGGCCCGGUACUGACGCUGAGGCACGAAAGCGUGGGGAGCAAACAGG
rnacentral:rRNA from 1 species